rnacentral:rRNA from 1 species
GCGCGCGAUACAGGGUGACAGCCCCGUACACAAAAGCGCAUGUGCUGUGAGCUCGAUGAGUAGGGCGGGACACGUGGUAUCCUGUCUGAAUAUGGGGGGACCAUCCUCCAAGGCUAAAUACUCCUGACUGACCGAUAGUGAACCAGUACCGUGAGGGAAAGGCGAAAAGAACCCCGGCGAGGGGAGUGAAAAAGAACCUGAAACCGUGUACGUACAAGCAGUGGGAGCACAGGUUUACCUGUGUGACUGCGUACCUUUUGUAUA